rnacentral:rRNA from 1 species
AUUGAACGCUGGCGGCAGGCCUUACACAUGCAAGUCGAACGGCAGCACGGGGGCAACCCUGGUGGCGAGUGGCGAACGGGUGAGUAACACAUCGGAACGUACCCUAUCGUGGGGGAUAACCAGUCGAAAGAUUGGCUAAUACCGCAUGCACUGGAGACAGCAAAGCGGGGGACCGGCAACGGCCUCGCGCGAUUGGAGCGGCCGAUGUCCGAUUAGCUAGUUGGUGGGGUAAAGGCUCACCAAGGCGACGAUCGGUAGCUGGUCUGAGAGGAUGAUCAGCCACACUGGGACUGAGACACGGCCCAGACUCCUACGGGAGGCAGCAGUGGGGAAUAUUGGACAAUGGGCGAAAGCCUGAUCCAGCCAUGCCGCGUGAGUGAAGAAGGCCUUAGGGUUGUAAAGCUCUUUCAGCGGGGAAGAUAAUGACGGUACCCGCAGAAGAAGCCCGGCUAACUUCGUGCCAGCCGCCGCGGUAAU